UGGGAGCGCGAGUUGGACCCAGCGCUUCUCAGACAUCGUAGAUCAGCUGACUGUGGCGCCGGGGAGUGAGUGUUCGUUAUAAAUACGCUCAAAUCUCCCAAAAUACAGCGAAUUGGAGGGAAUCACGCAGAGGAGAGAUGGAGGAAGGUUCUGGCCAGCCUUUGAGGUGGAGAAAAGAGAGACAGGCACGAGAAUGAUGAUAAAGGAGAAGAACGUAAGAAAAGAGAAUAAAAGAUGACAUAGGGAAGAGAGAGAAGGA